UGGAAAGAAUUUGAAACUCCAGAGAAAGC
rnacentral:piRNA from 3 species